rfam:Colletotrichum orchidophilum strain IMI 309357 Scaffold_126.1, whole genome shotgun sequence.
AAGAGUAUAGUUUAAUGGCAAAACAAGGAGCUUCAACCUCCGAAUUCUUAGUUCGAGUCUGAGUACUCUUG